rnacentral:tRNA from 1 species
GCCUGAGUGGCGGAACUGGUAGACGCGCACGACUCAAAAUCGUGUACCUAACGGUGUGCCGGUUCGAUUCCGGCCUUAGGUA